UGAUUGUAUUCAAUAUUGGUCUAAGC
rnacentral:piRNA from 1 species